rnacentral:lncRNA from 1 species
AGAAAUUUGAAAAUUGAGAACCUUAUCUUGUCUCAAUUUUGGCAACUUUAUCAGCUUUUGGUUAGUUUAGCUGUGGGAACACAUUCCAAAUUAGGAUUCAUAUGUUGCUUGAGAACUACUGAGAAAACCAAAAAAAGAAAAAGAUGAUUGCUGAGAAUAUAUUCUUUCCUAGAUAGGAAUUACACGUUCAGCUGUUGGAUAAGGGCAUGAUAUAGUGCAGAUUUAGGUAAUGAAAGUUAGCUUCUCCAAAAAAUACCAGGGAAAUAGAGCUUUGUAUUCUUAUUUCUCUCUGAUCCUAUUGGUAAUAUGUGAUAUGUUUUAUCUUCCGUCUUUGGUCCUCUAAAGAUUGACAGAAGAGACUAAGCAACUAGAUAACAUUCUAACAUAUGUAAAUAACCCCUUACAGGUUCAGCAGUUCUCCAUCUAUAUGACGUAUCACCUUUAUUUAGCUGUUUUAUUAUUUAUCACUAUGAACACCCACAAUGCAUUAGCAAUUUGGAGCAGUUCUCCAUCUAUAUGAUGUAUCACCUUUAUUUAGUUGUUUUAUUAUUUAUCACUAUGAACACCCACACCGCAUUAGCAAUUUGGCUUUCCUAUUUCAGCCUGUGGACUAAUGAUUGAUCAAGGGUAUUUGUCAGGACUCAAAAUAACAUGUUCCUGGUGUUCAUAGUUGAAUGCAACAUACUGAUACAUAUGGCAUACGCAUGCAGCUAUAUAGCUAUGUACAUUGUUAAAUGAAUAAAUAAAUAAACAUAUAUGCUGCAUAUGCUCCUGUAUUCUUCUCCCCUGCUUUAUGACUAUAACUUUGUAAGGAGUUAUGCUCUACUAUUUAGGAAUACAAAAAUAAUUUGUCAACUUUCCAUAAAACUCCCCCUUAAGUUGGAAUCUAAUUAAUUCCAACAAUGACUAUAAUUUUGUUAAG